GCGUAAUGUAGGUUCAUGGCCUAGACUGCUGGGGUGGCUUCGCGCUGCUCUCUUCGCCAUUGGCGGGCGGUUCGAACGGCAGCGGAUGUGACGACGUGGGCUCCCUACCCGGUGACCGGAAGGAGCCGUUUGAAACGACGGAGGCCGGGCGCGGGCAGAAGUCAAAUAUUCAAUGUAUGCAAAGAUGAAAAGAAAAGUGGCAAAAGGUGGGAGACUGAGGCUUAGUCCUAAUGAAGAAGCUUUACUUUUGAAAGAAGAAUAUGAAAGACGACGAAGACUAAGGCUGCAGCAGGUUAGAGAGCAGGAGAGAUACAUUGCCGUGCAGAUAAGACAAGAAGUGAAGCAGAGGAGAGAUGAGCAGCUACAUCAGUUGGCAGAGGAACUGAAAGCAGAGUGGUGGAAAGCACAAAAUCAGAAGAUUAAAGCCUUGGAAAAACUUUAUCUAUCAAGUUUAAGAGCUGUGGGAGAUGGACACAGACAGGCAAAGGAAAAUGAACCUGAUUUGGUGGCUCUGGCAAAGGAAGCAGAGGAAAGGAAACAAAGAGCAGAGAAGAGACAUAAGGAAGCCCUGAAAGAACAGAAAAAUCAAAAAGAAAAAUUGUUGAAAGAGCAAACAUGGCGAACAAAUGCACGUAAGCAUGCAAUGUAUGUGGAAAAAGAGAGAGCUGCCAAAAUUGCAAGCCUGCCACCACCUCCACCCCAUCCUUUUGAGAACUUUGAAGUGAAAAGACUGCCUACGGUGAAGGUCUAUAAUGCUGACAAUUUUUCUGUUACUCAUCACCAUCUUUCUGAACCUUAUGUGGAUAGAGAAAUGGACACACAGCAGGUGACUGAUAUCAAAUAUGCCUAUGGCAUAUGCUCCCUUAUUUCAGUACUAUUGUACUAUGCUCGGUUAGUAGCUGAAGAGGAAGCAAAGCGGUUGGACGAACUACAAAAAGAGGGAGAGAGAGAUAGGAGAGAACAGCUUGAAAAAGCACAUCUGAGAGGAAGUCAUGCCUUGAAGAUGGUCCAUUUGGCACAAGACCGGGAAAGGUUAAUGAAAGAACUUGAACAGAUGCAGAAUAUGGACCUGGCGCGCAGAAGACAGAUUGUGGCACAGAUGCCGCCACAGCUGUUCGAACCUGCAUACAGACGCAUGGAAAUUAAAGAAGACUGGCAGAGGGAACUGGAGUUUGCCUUUGAAGAUAUGUACAGUGGAGAUAGGAAAAUGAAAGGAGACAUGAUUUUGCACCUAGAGCCACAGCCUUUGCCAAUUCCCUCUGAUCGGUCUCAAGAUGAAGACUUGGAUAUCUCCCUGGAGCCAGAUCUUGCAUGUGAGACUCAACCAAAAAUGGAGGAGGUGACAGAAAAGGAAGCCCAGCACCCUAGUGAACCAGAGAAUCAUGAAAUGAGAGUGGCUCCCCAACCACAAUCAAAACUGGUCUUAAAAAAAUUGCUAAAUAAGAUCCGGAGCCAAAAAGACCAGUGGACUUCAAAAUGUGAAGCAGAGAUUCAAAGUGAAAUUGAGACAAUUGAGUCAGGAACACUUGCUAGUGAAGAGAGACGAUUAUGUGAUUCAGAUCCUGGUCAUGAACAACAUACUGAUUCAGUCUCUGAGGCCAUAGAAUCUCCAGAAACGUUGGAGCAUACUGUUAUAGCUGGAAAUUCAGUCCUAAUCCACCCUCAAGAACAAGCAGCCAAAAUCAGAAUGGAAGUAGAGAGACAAAAACAGCUAGAGCGAAUAGAACAACAAAAACAGCAGCAGCUAAUUUUGCUUAAGCAAAUUGAAGAAAAGCGAAUAUGCUUAGAGGCAGAGUUCCUAAAGGUCCAAAUGCAGGCUCAGCUGGAGGAAAUAAAGAAAAAAGAGCAAGAGGAGAAAGCUGCGAGUGUUGAGCUGAGUCCUGAUCCACUUAUGAACCAACAGAGGGAAGUGGAACACGAGACUGAAACUGCUGCAGUGCCGGGAACGAGCAGUUCUAAUGAAGAAAAUCAUAUACAGAUGAUUCGUAACUAUCAACAAUGUCUUCUACUGCAAAACAGAUUGCACAAACAGUCAGUUGAAGAAGCCAGAAAACAGUUGCAGGAAUAUCAGAAUAAGUUGAAGCAAAGAUAUCCAUCUAUUUCUAUGCCAUUAGGCUCUGCAGUUACAUUGCAGUCCAGAUUUAUUAACUUAAAACCUACUCCCUGUGAAUCAGUUUUACAAAUGCGUGGACCCACAGUGAUUCAUAGAGAUUAUCCAUCAGCUAGCCAGUCAUCUGUACAUGUUCAUGUACAAGAAUAUGCUCCGCCAUUAACCACACAUUCAAGAACACGUUUUGUGUUGGAAAAGCCAUUUGAACAGAGAGAUGACGAGCAAAGGCAUAACAUGGGCUCUAGUAGACAGAUACAAUCUAUAGAGGCCUCACAGUUGGAGCAAAAGCAGUUUCAUUUGCCACAACAGAAUUACCCUUCACAAGAACAGAUGGAAAUAUUGGGUCCUUCUGAUAAUCAGGUGAGAGACUUGUCAGAAUCCCAGAAGCUGCCUGGGUCAGUCAUGAUGACUUCACAAGAUGCUUCAGUUAUGAUGCAAACAGAGGCUCAUAUACAACAGGACAGUUCAGCUUUGCCCACAGAAGAGUCAUCUGAGUCUUCAAGAACCCUGGAUCUUGAUAAAACUUCAGUAAUGUCUCAGAAGAUGCCAAACCUACUAAUAGAGACAGAAGCACAAAAACAGCCUCGGCUUAUAGUUCUUGGUACGCCAGCAGCAGAGGGGUCUCUCAUAGCUCAGGCUGCAUCAUUUGGUUCUUCAGAAUACCAGCAGGUACCUACAGAGAGCAGCAUAAAAACAACCUUUGAACAAACUAUCCCCCAGCCUUUUCAACAUCUUACUUCAUUAUCUCCUGAUGAAUCUGAGACUGGGGCAAGCCAGGAGUCCUUGGCAUCCAAAAAUGGAGGUGCAUCUUUGUUAAAUUAUUCCAGUAUACUAAAGUUAAGAGAGAGAGUGCUAGCUUCUUCAGAGAGCAUCCAAGCUCAGCAAGACCAUUUGAAAGAACUGCAAGAGCAACUGGAUGUACAAAGAGAAGCUCUUCUUUCUAGGCAGAGAAUGCAGGAAGAACUGCUUUUACGUAAGCAGGCUAAAUUGAAGGAACAGAUGCAGAGACAACAAGAGGCUUUGAAGGAUUUUCUUAAUAAGCAGGCAGAAGAAUCUGUCACAUACAGAGAGAUGACAGAAACACCGAAGUCUGACCACUUCAAUCUGAUGACUUACCUUUUCAAAGAUGCAGAAAAUAAAUCUCAAGAAGUUAAUUGUUGUGAUGUGAACAAAUAUGAUGAAAAUAGAUUGCUUUCACAAAGCAUCAGUCAAGCUGAGCAAAUCGAGCAGUCUCAAAGAAUUCUGGGAAGAGAACAGAGAUGGCGAACUUCAAAACCACCUCUGGCUAAAAUCAAGUUAGGGCUAGAUUUGGAACAACAUGAAUUAAGUGUAAUACCAGAGCUAGACACGCCAAGGAGUGGCAAAGUUUCUUUUGCAGAUAAGACCGAUUCCGUUAGUGGAGAAGCUUCUCUCAUUUCAUCUGUGGAAGAGCUAGUGUCUGGUAUGUGCAACAGUGAAUCGGUUCAUGAAGAAAGAGACUUAUCCAUAGCCAACUGCAAAGAACAAGGUUCUAGUGAGAACCCAAGAUGCACUAACCAACUAAGUAGUUCAUGGCAUGAAAGACUGAUGGUGGAUGCUAGUAGUUCACAUGAGCCAGCCAACCCCAAUGAUUCUGUUGUCAUGGGUCAAGAUUUACCAAUUUAUGCUGCUGACAUUGGAAGGAGAGUAAUUACAGAUUCUGGGCCAUCAUUUAGACCUGAUAGUACGGUAGCACUUUCUAAAGGAUGGACAACCAGUUUUGCUCCACAGGCUUGUGCACGAGAGACAGCCUGUGAUUAUUUGUCUUCAACAACAAUUUCCACUGGCAGUUUUUUAACCAGUGAAAAGUUGGACCUAAGCCCUGCUAACACUGAGUUGUCUUCAAAUAGUGCCGAGGAUAGGAUAUUGAGAGAAACAGCAAGCAGCCCUUGGGACUCUUCUGCAUCUCCAACACCUACCACUGCUCAGCAGAGGCAAGAGAAUUCUUCUGAAGUUUCUGAAUUUCAUCUGCCUGCAGAAGAGAAUUUUAUCUCUAAUAGAAGUCAAAUUCAGCAGAUCAUAGACAAAUAUACGAAAGAUUUGAACUGGUUACCUGAAAACACUAUAUCUUUCCAUGCUCCAGCAGUUGGACUCGAUUUUUCUGAUAUGGAAAGAAAUUUCCCUAACUUUCAACGUCAGGUUUUUCAGCCUUUGGAACCAAGUCCUGACUUUGAUAUCUCAUCAUCCCUUUCUCAACAUAGGAUUUCUGAAGACAGCAAAGAUUUUAGCAAGAGUUUCGCUUUCUCAAUCCAAAGUCAAGACACAUCUGUAUUUCCUGAAGCCACAACCUCUAGCUUGAAAGCAAGAAGUUACAAUCUGCAUUCUUUUCUUAAUACAAAGAAGCUAAACAAUACUACAUCACAAGCAGAGGAGUCAAUGAAGGAAAAUGUUACUCUGGCAGGUUCUGAAGAAUCUUUUCACCCUCUUCAGUUGGAAUCUACCCUGAAUGAGCACAGCCAGAGUACUGCACAACCAAUAGGUCUUCGCAUUGUAUUUGAACACAAUUCUAAAAUUAAAAAAUCAGAGAAUGAGAACUACGUUUCACCUGUUGGAAACCAAUAUGAGGGGCUGGCGAGAAAUAUAGAGAAUACUAAUCUCCAGUCUUCAGUGGAAAACCUGCGGAGUCCAACGCUGAGUUCAUCAGAAGAACUGGGUUCAUUUUAUCAGCUAAUUACAACACAGAUUACAGAAAAUGAGACUCUCCUGACUGAACAUUCAGUAAAAGAAGUUGCGGAACUGAGAAAAGAGAACUUGUGCUUUGAAGAAUUACCUGUUGUGACACCAAAUAAGCACAGGGAGCUUACUGAAACCCCAGUUCUUAGCAAUGAAGCAAAUAGGAUUGUGGAAGGUGACCAUUCACAGUGCAGUACAAAUAUAUUGGAGGAAGAACAAAGCAUUCUAGAAGUACAGAUGUCCUCUAGAAUGCCUAGAGCAGUAGACUCAGAAAUCUACAUCAACCCUUCACAAGCAACUAGACAACAAAAUGGUGGUUUGCCAGAAAUACCCCAAAACCAAAAUUCUAAUUCAGUGCUCACAAUAAGUUCAGGGUCACAUUCCUUACAAAGCCGUGUGCCAGUCUGGGAGACAGAGUCAGGGCAUGGGAUUAUGGAAGAACCUGAACUGACUCUGAUAAGCUCAAAUGACAUCAGUGUUGCAGAAUCAGACUCGGAACACAUUAGCCAAGAGAAAAAAAGAAAAAUAAGUUGGAUAGCCUGGCAUAUGCUGGCCAGUCUGAACUUAAAAGUUGUUCUGAGGUGCAGUUGUCAGUCAAUUGAAGAAAGUGGGGGAAGUGAAAGUGUGCUCUCCAGAGGACAAAAGGUCUGCAGAUGUUCAAAUGCAGCAGCGCACUUUAAGACUUUAUAAUCAACUAGCCGAAGUGAAAAUCAGAAAGGAAGAGAAAUCAAGACAAGAAACCUAUGCUAAAAACAGAGAAAAGGCUAAAGAGUUUCAAAAGAAAACAUUGGAAAAACUACGAGCCAAAAAGACACAUUGAACACUACAUCCUUUAAGAGACUUCUGCCAAUAAGAAGUGCUUGACUCCUUUCUCAGUUCAAUCCAAGGAAUGUAUGAGAAGGCCAAAGUCACAUUAAGCAAUAUCAUUAUGUAACUUUGAAGUACUGAGCUUUGAUCUAGGUCAAAAAAUCAUAAUUUAAAUAAUGUAGCAACUUAAUUUAUUCCCAAGAUUUGAAUGAUCACCACCACCAACACUUGCCUAAUUACAGAUUUGGUCUGCCAGUUUAUACUCCAUUUCUGCUUGUAUUAUGAUUCAGAUUAUUGUACAAAGGCGUUUUUACAUUGAGGAUGGUCUGCAUUUAAAAGUGAAGGGUCAGCUGAAUCUUUUUAAUAAAGUUUUGUAAUGAAACCUG